AUACGUAGGGGGCGAGCGUUGUCCGGAAUGAUUGGGCGUAAAGGGCGCGUAGGCGGCCCGGUAAGUCUGGAGUGAAAGUCCUGUUUUUAAGAUGGGAAUUGAUUUGGAUACUGUCGGGCUUGAGUGCAGGAGAGGUAAGUGGAAUUCCCAGUGUAGCGGGGAAAUGCGUAGAGAUUGGGAGGAACACCAGUGGCGAAGGCGAAUUACUGGACUGUAACUGACGCUGAGGCGCGAAAGUGUGGGGAGCAAACAGGAUUAGAUACCCUGGUAGUCCACACUGUAAACGAUGAAUGCUAGGUGUAGGGGGUAUCGAGCCCUUCUGUGCCGCAGUCAACACAAUAAGCAUACCGCCUGGGGAGUACGGCCGCAAGGUUGAAACUCAAAUGAAUUGACGGGG
rnacentral:rRNA from 1 species